rnacentral:rRNA from 1 species
UACGUAGGCAGCAAGCGUUGUUCGGAAUUACUGGGCGUAAAGGGCGCGUAGGCGGGAUGGCAAGUCGGUCGUGAAAUCCCUCGGCUCAACCGAGGAACGUCGAUCGAUACUGCUGUUCUUGAGGAUUGCAGAGGAGACUGGAAUUCCCGGUGUAGCGGUGAAAUGUGUAGAGAUCGGGAGGAACACCGGUGGCGAAGGCGGGUCUCUGGGCAAUUCCUGACGCUGAGGCGCGAAAGCGUGGGGAGCAAACGGG